rnacentral:rRNA from 1 species
UACGUGGGGUGCGAGCGUUGUCCGGAAUUAUUGGGCGUAAAGAGCUUGUAGGCGGUCUGUCGCGUCUGCUGUGAAAAUCCGGGGCUCAACCCCGGACUUGCAGUGGGUACGGGCAGACUAGAGUGUGGUAGGGGAGACUGGAAUUCCUGGUGUAGCGGUGAAAUGCGCAGAUAUCAGGAGGAACACCGAUGGCGAAGGCGGAUCUCUGGGCCAUUACUGACGCUGAGGAGCGAAAGCGUGGGGAGCGAACAGGA